rnacentral:rRNA from 1 species
UACGUAGGGUGCAGGCGUUACUCGGAAUUACUGGGCGUAAAGCGUGCGCAGGCGGUUUGCUAAGAGAGAUGUGAAAUCCCCGGGCUUAACCUGGGAACUGCGUUUCUAACUGGCAGGCUUGAGUGCUGUAGAGGGGGGUAGAAUGCCGGGUGUAGCGGUGGAAUGCGUAGAGAUCCGGCAGAAGACCGGUGGCGAAGGCGGCCCCCUGGGCAGUAACUGACACUGAGGCGCGACAGCGUGGGGAGCAAACAGG